AAUCACUAACCACACAGCCAAG
rnacentral:miRNA from 1 species